rnacentral:rRNA from 1 species
CCCUUAGAUGUCCGGGGCUGCACGCGCGCUACACUGAAGGAAUCAGCGUGCUAAAACCAUUGUCGAAAGGCAUUGGUAAACCCAUUAAAAUCCUACGUGAUUGGGAUCGGGAAUUGCAAUUAUUUCCCUUGAACGAGGAAUUCCCAGUAAGUGUGGGUCAUAAGCUCGCGUUGAUUACGUCCCUGCCCUUUGUACACACCGCCCGUCGCUGCCCGGGACUGAGCCGUUUCGAGAAAAGCGGGGACUGCUGCUGUCGGGGCUUUCGGGCCUGGGCUUCGGUGGAAACCGCUUUAAUCGCAGUGGCUUGAACCGGGCAAAAGUCGUAACA